UACGGAGGGUGCAAGCGUUAUCCGGAUUUACUGGGUUUAAAGGGUGUGUAGGCGGACUUUUAAGUCCGUGGUGAAAUCUCCGGGCUCAACCCGGAAACUGCCAUGGAUACUAUUUGUCUUGAAUAUUGUUGAGGUGGGCGGAACGGGUCAUGUAGCGGUGAAAUGCAUAGAUAUGACCCGGAACACCGAUUGCGAAGGCAGCCCACUAAGCAAUGAUUGACGCUGAGGCACGAAAGCGUGGGGGAUCAAACAGG
rnacentral:rRNA from 1 species